GAAGUCAGCGAGUUUCUUCAACCUUGGCCGGAAGGCCUGGGUAAUCUUGUGAAACUUCAUCGUGCUGGGGAUAGAGCAUUGCAACUAUUGUUCUUAAACGAGGAAUCCCUAGUAAGCGCGAGUCAUUAGCUCGCGUUGAUUACGUCCCUGCCCUUUGUACACACCGCCCGUCGCUACUACCGAUUGAAUGGCUUAGUGAGACUUUCGGAUGUGUUUGGAGCCGCUGGCAACAGUGACACCUUGCGCAGAAGUUAUUCAAACUUGGGUCAUUUAGAGGAAGUAAAAGUCGUAACAAGGUUUCCGUAGGUGAACCUGCGGAAGGAUCAUUA
rnacentral:rRNA from 1 species